rnacentral:rRNA from 1 species
UACGUAGGUGGCAAGCGUUAUCCGGAAUUACUGGGCGUAAAGCGCACGCAGGUGGUUUGCUAAGUUUGACGUGAAAGCGCCUGGCUUAACUGGGCGAGGUCGUUGGAGACUGGCAGACUAGAGGUGAGGAGAGGGGUGUAGAAUUCCCGGUGUAGUGGUGGAAUGCGUAGAUAUCGGGAGGAAUACCAGUGGCGAAAGCGGCACCCUGGCCUUGGCCUGACGCUCAUGGUGCGAAAGCGUGGGUAGCAAACGGG